UUAACUGACGCUAAAGCUCGAAAGUGCGGGUAUCGAACAGGAUUAGAUACCCUGGUAGUCCGCACGGUAAACGAUGGAUGCCCGCUGUUGGCGAUAUAUUGUCAGCGGCCAAGCGAAAGCGUUAAGCAUCCCACCUGGGGAGUACGCCGGCAACGGUGAAACUCAAAGGAAUUGACGGGGGCCCGCACAAGCGGAGGAACAUGUGGUUUAAUUCGAUGAUACGCGAGGAACCUUACCCGGGCUUGAACUGCAGAGGAAGGAUCUAGAGAUAGUGACGCCCUUCGGGGCCUCUGUGGAGGUGCUGCAUGGUUGUCGUCAGCUCGUGCCGUGAGGUGUCGGCUUAAGUGCCAUAACGAGCGCAACCCCUUUCUCCAGUUGCCAUCAGUUUAAGCUGGGCACUCUGGAGACACUGCCACCGUAAGGUGUGAGGAAGGUGGGGAUGACGUCAAAUCAGCACGGCCCUUACGUCCGGGGCUACACACGUGUUACAAUGGGGAGUACAGAGAGUCAACCGCCGGCAACGUCGGUUUAAUCAAUAAAGCUCUCCUCAGUUCGGAUUGGGGUCUGCAACCCGACCCCAUGAAGCUGGAUUCGCUAGUA
rnacentral:rRNA from 1 species